UGGGGAAUAUUGCACAAUGGGGGAAACCCUGAUGCAGCGACGCCGCGUGAGCGAUGAAGUAUUUCGGUAUGUAAAGCUCUAUCAGCAGGGAAGAUAAUGACGGUACCUGACUAAGAAGCUCCGGCUAAAUACGUGCCAGCAGCCGCGGUAAUACGUAUGGAGCAAGCGUUAUCCGGAUUUACUGGGUGUAAAGGGAGCGUAGGCGGUCCUGCAAGUCUGAUGUGAAAACCCGGGGCUCAACCCCGGGACUGCAUUGGAAACUGUAGGACUAGAGUGUGGGAGGGGUAAGUGGAAUUCCGAGGGUAGCGGUGAAAUGCGUAGAUAUUAGGAGGAAAACCAGUGGCGAAGGCGGCUUACUGGACGACCACUGACGCGGAGGCUCGAAAGCGUGGGGAGCAAAAAGG
rnacentral:rRNA from 1 species